GGACAGAUUGGAAAAGCUGCCUUUGGCAGCUGGCGUGGAUGACAGGAAAUGGAAAAAUAAAAAGAGGGAAAGGGAGACAUGUUAAGGGGAAUUGGUGGAAGGGAGCUGCCCUUUGGGCAGCUCGCAGAGAGACAGGAUAGAAAAGAAUCAGGAGGAGAGCGGCCUUUGGCAGCUAGGGAAAAAACGCUGCCCUUUGGCAGCGAGCUCAGAGAGAAGAAGCCAAGUCCACGGAACGCAGGGGGGUGACGUGAGGGGCAGAGCACAAAGCAGAGGCUUCACUCCAUUCUUCUUGGUUUUAUCUCACUAAACUUUUAUUUUAUUUCUGUUUUAAUAAUGUGUGUAAUUAAUUUUAUUUUGGCUAGAGGUUAAUUCAAAGCCAUGAUUUAUAUUUGUAAUAUGAAUUGAUUACCUUCGGUUGUGAUUUCAUAAGUUGUGAUUUCAAUUUACUUAUCCGUUCGUAUAAAAACUGAUUUGUGUAUGUUGGUUGAGAGUGCACGCUUAAUUUACAUGCAUGAAUUUGAUGCUAGAAUAUAAGUGAAUUUCACCUAAUCGUUAUGAACUUAUUUUCACAAGUAGUAAAGGUUGCUAGUCACAAUCACGUUAAGUAAAUUCUUGGCAAGAGUAUCAUGCUUUUCAUAGUUACGAAUGCCUCGUCAAUGCUUAUAGUUUUCACAAAGUUUAAUGAUCUUUGAUUGUAUCGCUAUUGUGCUUUUCACGUAGGGAACUUUUUGAAGAAUGUUUUGAAUUGUUGUAUGCGUUUUUCCGUCCAAUUCAAUAACUUAAGGAAAAACUUGAAGAUUAAAAAAGUGCUGUUCACGGUUAAUCUGGAGUAUUGAGAUUCACAAUUUAUUGAAAGAACAACUGAAAAUCAAUUUAGGUUGCAUAUGUGUCAUGUGUGGAGAAGAACCCUCUAGCUAGUCCGUCAUUUAUCAUUUCACCUUAAUUUCAUGUUUUUUGUCAAUUCUGUAAUUUAAUUAAGUUUAAUUUACUUUUCAUCAAAACCAAACACCCAUCCAUUAUUAAAUUAUAUUUUUUAGUUAGUUUUCUUUAUUGUUAGUCUUUUAAUUUAAUUUCCGUCCAUUUCAGUUCCUAGUGUUUAAUUUGAUUGUUUUCAUUAUUUUGAGUUAUCCUAAGUGUGUUUCGAGUUAUUAGAGUUUUUAGCCUAGUUUUGUGUCCUUGAGUCUUAUUUAAUAUUUUUAAAUUAAUUUAGAAUAGAUUAGCAAUCCCUCCUAAUCCCCGGCCUAGAACGAUACCCUACUUACAUCCAUACUACAAUUGUCAAAAAGAGGGUUUAAUUUGUGUGUUAAGUAAUUCACGCAUCAAAUUUUGGCGCCGUUGCCGGGGAUUAGUAACUUUGCUAAUCCUUUUAUUUUUGUUUUUGUUUAUGUUUAUAUUGGUGUUUGUGUAUUUUACUUUUGAUAUUUGAUUUAUUUUUCUUUCUUUGAUUUUAGGCACAAAUGGAGCUGAGGGAAAUUUAAAGGAAAGAUGCGUCCGGCUAAAGACGUUAAAUCAAGCGCUUCUUGGGAGGCAACCCAAGCAUUCAACGAAGGGAGACUUUGGAAUCGCUAACCCAAUCAGAUUUGCAUUUUUACACCCUUAUCUUUACUGCUUUCAUUUUGUUUUGUUUAGUUAGUUGUGUUAUUUGGUUGAUUUCUGUGAGUUUGUAUUACUUAGUUUAAGUGUGGGGGAAGGUUAACCAAAGUCUCUUUACAUUAAUUUACAUAAAAAAAAAAAAAAAAAAAAAAAAAAAAAAAAAAAGAUAAAAAUUUAAAAAUAAAAAUAAAAAAUAAAAAAUUAAAAAAAAAAAAAAAAAAAAAGUACAAAAUAUUUUACAAUGAUGUAAACUAAUAGUAUUCAUUGGUCGGAUGGUGCUUCAGUAGUAGGCGGGGCUUUCAGCAGUCGGCGGGGCCACAGAAGGAGGAGGCAGCAGAGGUUGAUCAGUUGGAGCUUCACUACGCGGUGCCGCCGCUCCAGAAGACGAAGGCAGAUGUUGUUGGAACAAACCCACAAACCUCCGAUGAUCAAGUAAAAUUUGACCAUCGGUGUCCUGCAUCUGGUCAAUCUUCCUCUUCAUGCUGGUGGCAUAGCUGUGUGCGAGCUUGUGCAAUUCCUUAUUCUCAUGCUUGAGCCCUUUAAUCUCUUGCUUGAGACUCUGUAUUUCAGCCACCAAGGAUUCAACGUGACGGGUUCGGGCAUAUAGGCGUUGGGCCAUGUUGGAUACGGAACCCGCACACUGCACACUGAGAGCCAGAGACUCCUUGACCGCCAAUUCAUCAGACCGCCUUGCGAGCAGUCUGUUAUCUCUGGGAGUGACAAGGUUUCGGGCCACCACCGCAGCUGUCAUAUCAUUUUUUAUCACCGAAUCCCCCACGGUAAGGGGACCGGUAGGGGAUAUGAAGGAUGGCCGCCAUAUGUUGUCUGGUGAAGGCGGAGCUGCCUCUUCACCAAUGUUCAAGUCAAAACGACGAUCAGAAGGGCCAGACAUUUUUCAGAGGUGGUAAAGAAUGAAGAGAGUUGGACUGAUCAAGAUUAAACAAAUGCAAGAAGGGAGUGUUUACAGGAGGGAGCUCAAGUGUGUUGUGGAACAAGCUUAACGUCUCUAUAAAAAAGGAAGAAAUCAAAGAGGCGCUCCUCAGAGAAGCGUCCUCUCGCAAAUCGAAGAGUCGGGGCUCCGUUCUCAACGUCUGUCUGAUUCUUUUCUCAAAAGAGGAGUUUCCUUUCUCAAAAGCCGGAUUCUUUUCUCAAAAGAGGCGUUUCAUUUCUUAAAGGCUGGGCUUGCUCAGAAACCACGAGCCGAACCCCGGAUUUCAAAGGAUCAAUUUGUCCAGACGUGUCGUCACUUGUCACACGCAAAUUGCUUUGCGGAAAUCUCGGGCAAUUUGUCGAAGCACCAAUUCAGAAAUCGAAGAGGGAAAUUCAACAGUCAAAGACACGCUAGCUUUCUCAAAAGCUGGGCUUCAACCCACGGGAAAAUCUUCUUUUCCAGAUUUAUCCGCACGUGUCACAUGCUACCUCUACAAUCGACGAUGCUCAGAGCUCGAAGCGCCGAUUACAGAUAUCAAUGAGGAAUCAGCUUUGCGGAAAUUACGGGAAGCUUUGUCAGAAAGCGCGUAAUUUGUAUUCUUCACCCAUCCACCGGCUGCCGACACUAAGUGAGAGAACAGUUCCGGUUGUGAAGACAAGUCCUAUAAGUUUUCUACCUUCGCCUUCCACAGCAAAAGCACACUCUCUCAGCACACCCUCUCAACACCUCUCUUCAUCUCCGAAAAUGCAUUCCCAAAGAAUCCUCUCGAGUCACUCUGUGUUCCUCAUUCCUUGGGAUACUCCUGCGAACAACCUAUUCAAAGCAAAAGUAUUUCAUAUCAUAAAGGUUGAAAGCAAGAGUAUCUCAUAUCAUGCUUUCUCCAUGUCCUUCUCCUUGUCUUUGUUUUCCGACAAGGAGAAAGAAAGAGCAAUCAGCCAGCAUUUGGUAUCAAUCUUCCAAUCUGGAGCCAACUGCCUGGAACCCUUUCCUGAUUGCUUACCUAGCCUUGCUCUCGAGUACUCAUCUUCUUCAUUUUAUGCUUUCUCUUCGUCUACCACAUCUGCCUGGGGGACAGUAAGGGAAGUGAAAAUGAUACCUCGAAGCAUGUGGAGACAAUUCAGCUAGGGACAAGGAGAAAGAAAGCAAGAGGUGGGCACUUGGAAAGAUUGAAGAAAGAAAUAAGGACCAACACCUUUCCCUCGUGCCUGCCCGUUGUGCAGAAGAAACAAGCAGAGAAGAAUGCAGCUUGCACAAUCAUCCCAGCGGAAGGAGUCCGAACUGAGGAACUAGAGAAGCUGCCACAUCUGCUUGGAGAACAAAUAAGGAACUGCAACAUCACCAAAGAGCAAAGCUUCGCCGUACAAUAUCAUCAAAUCAUCACUUGCAAGUAAAAAGCUAAGUGUCACCCUGUUCAAGAGGAAAGCUGUGGAAAGUCAACAAGCACGACCAAUGAUUACUUAUUAGUUUUAUUCAUUAUCUUUUAUCGUAAUUUUCAAUUUUUCGUUUGCAAUAUUUUUUUUAAUUAAUUUUCUUGCGUACGUACUUAACUGAAUUUUUCCUUUUCUUUGCAGGAACUUUUGGUUAUUUCCACCCUUGAAGUUGAUUGCAGAAUUUUAGCUUGAGGGUCAUCGCUUGAUUUUACUGCAAAUUAGGGAAGUUUUCAGUCCAAUUGCUUUAUUUUGUUUUUUUUUUUAUUAUUUUGUUUAUUUUAUUUAUUUUUGCAUUAUAGUGUUUUCUGACAUUGGGGACAAUGUCAAGUUUAAGUGUGGGGGUAGAAAUCUCUAGAAUUUCAUUUGUUUCUGUGUUGUUGCUUUUUAUUUUUUAUUUUUUUUAGUUUUGUUUUCUCUAUAAAAAAAAAAAAAUCGGAAAAUUUAAAAAAUCCAAAAAAUAUUGUCUUGUUUCCCUUAUUGUUUUGAAUUAGAUUUUUUGUUAGUUUCCCGACCCAAUGAUAUAAUUGGAUCAAAAAAUUUGAACCAUGAUCAUCAAGAACUUAGUUAACAUGUGUUUGGUGAAAUUCCUAAUUCUCUUGUUAGUUUUGUACAUGUUUGACCAUCUUUGAAAAACCAAAUGCACAUAGCCUUGUUAAUGUGAAACUAAAGUAUGACUUAAAGCUUCAUAUGUGAAUUUAGUGACCAUAUACAUCAUAUGUGAGUUUUUGAGCCGAUUGAAAGUGUGUGCAUUUUUCAUACACUCCUAUUCUUUCAUGUGUGAUGAACUUAUGUGAGAUACAUCUCUAGAACUUGCGUAACGAUCUUUCGAAAUGUUUGUCAUUGAUUGCAUGAACUUGGAAAUGAUAGAGGCAUUAGGUUUACCACCAUGGCCCAAAUAACCAUGUUUCCCAAAGAAAAUUGAUAUCAUUAGAUUGCCAAUUUGAGCCGUGUAUGUUGAGCCUUUUAUUUCUUAUCACCAGAUAUGUCUACCCUUAUACCUGAAACAUUUUUCCUUACCCUUUCCAAGCGAGCAAUGUGAGAUUGUCUUAUGAGAAAUGUUUGUAAAGUACUUUGAAGGUGUUUGGCAAAAAAAAAAUAAGUGUGGGGGUAUUUCAUGUUUGUAUUAAAAAAAAAAAAAAAAAAAAAAAAAAAAAAAAAAAAAAAAAAAGAAAGAAAAAGAAAGAUUGUAUACGAAGAAAAGAAAAAAAAAAAUAAUGUUUUUAAAGUUUCAGUUUAAGGGUGUGAUUGGAGGUUUCAGAAGAAUCGUUGGAAAGAUUGAGUUCUUAUAAAUCUAAACAAAAGAAUUGCUUGCAAUGUAGCUUGGAACUUGUGUUUUCCUAUUCUUUCGUUUCAAUAACCCUAUCCCUAAGCCUCAUUACAUCCAAUAAAAGUCCUCUUGAUUUAAGUUUUGCAAUUAUGAUUGUGGAGAUGAGAUCUUUAUGCAAGCUUAUGGUAGAAAUUUCACAUUUGUUUCUUUGAGCGAAACACAUUAAAACUAAACACAUGUGUGAUUGAGUGCAUAUCCAGUGAGAAGGUCGCUAGUUUGCAUAUGAUGAUUUUAAAAAUAAAAACUUGAAAUUGCAUUAGCAUGGCUAUCUCACACACUACACUUCAAGGAUGAUUCAAAGAUUACUGCUAAUAUUUGAAUAAGAAAGAUGAACUUGGAUUAGUUCCUUGAUGCUAGCUAUGGUUCUUGAUGAUUUGUUUUCUUGAAUGAAAAUUCUAUGAGGGUCACAUAGAGGGAAGCUAAUGUUUUUCAUGUUAUUACUUUUUCAUAAUUUCUUUGUUUUGCUCGAGGACUAGCAAAAGUUAAGUGUGGGGGUAUUUGAUCGGAUCAUAUUUAUAUAUAUUUUUACUUCGAAUUCACUCGUCUUUUCUUAGUUAGUUCCUUAUAUUUUUGAGCUAUUUACAUUAUUUUUGUGUUUAUAGGAUUUGUUAUGCAAAGAAAAUAAAAAUAGAACAAGUGAAAUUUUAUGGUGAUGUGGCGAAUAAGUCUUUCAAGUCCUGACCUGUUAAAUAAGUAUAUUCUCUUUGUGGGACUAUCCAUUCGCUGGCAUAUUAGGUUUUGUUCCCUUUUCAUAUUGAUUUGAGUGACUCAUGCAGUUUAUACCUUAUUAACUAUAUUCUCACUUGCACAUCUUCAUUCGUCAAAGUUUAACUAUCAGGUUAAAAAAAAAAAAAAAGAAAAAAAUAAAGAAGAAUCAAAAGAGGCUGCCAGAGAAAGAAAAUAAAAUAUGGGAAGGUGGAACGGAGAGACAUGGUAGCGUGAGACACGGGGGUGAUAGAAGAAGGGGAAUAAGAAUAAAAUAGGGAAAAGGAUUGGGAGCUGCUGGGGCAGCUAAGAAAAAGGAAAUUAAAAAAAUAAAAAAAAAAACAGUGAAAAGAAUCCAAGGCAGCGUGUGAGAGAGUGAAAGAAAUAGAGGGGAAAGCAAGAAGCACGCGGGGACAGAUUGGAAAAGCUGCCUUUGGCAGCUGGCGUGGAUGACAGGAAAUGGAAAAAUAAAAAGAGGGAAAGGGAGACAUGUUAAGGGGGAAUUGGUGGAAGGGAGCUGCCCUUUGGGCAGCUCGCAGAGAGACAGGAUAGAAAAGAAUCAGGAGGAGAGCGGCCUUUGGCAGCUAGGGAAAAACGCUGCCCUUUGGCAGCGAGCUUAGAGAGAAGAAGCCAAGUCCACGGAACGCAGGGGGGUGACGUGAGGGGCAGAGCACAAAGCAGAGGCUUCACUCCAUUCUUCUUGGUUUUAUCUCACUAAACUUUUAUUUUAUUUCUGUUUUAAUAAUGUGUAAUUAAUUUUAUUUUGGCUAGAGGUUAAUUCAAAGCCAUGAUUUAUAUUUGUAAUAUGAAUUGAUUACCUUCGGUUGUGAUUUCAUAAGUUGUGAUUUCAAUUUACUUAUCCGUUCGUAUAAAAACUGAUUUGUGUAUGUUGGUUGAGAGUGCACGCUUAAUUUACAUGCAUGAAUUUGAUGCUAGAAUAUAAGUGAAUUUCACCUAAUCGUUAUGAACUUAUUUUCACAAGUAGUAAAGGUUGCUAGUCACAAUCACGUUAAGUAAAUUCUUGGCAAGAGUAUCAUGCUUUUCA
rnacentral:lncRNA from 1 species